UACGGAGGGUGCAAGCGUUAUCCGGAUUUACUGGGUUUAAAGGGUGCGCAGGCGGAUAUGUAAGUCAGUGGUGAAAUCUCUGGGCUUAACCCGGAAAUUGCCAUUGAUACUAUAUGUCUUGAAUGCUGUGGAGGUAAGCGGAAUAUGUCAUGUAGCGGUGAAAUGCUUAGAGAUGACAUAGAACACCUAUUGCGAAGGCAGCUUACUACGCAGAUAUUGACGCUCAUGCACGAAAGCGUGGGGAUCAAACAGG
rnacentral:rRNA from 1 species